rnacentral:rRNA from 1 species
GUAGGUGGCAAGCGUUGUCCGGAAUUAUUGGGCGUAAAGCGCGCGCAGGCGGUUCUUUAAGUCUGAUGUGAAAGCCCACGGGCUCAACCGUGGAGGGUCAUCGGAAACUGGAGAACUUGAGUACAGAAGAGGAAAGCGGAAUUCCACGUGUAGCGGUGAAAUGCGUAGAGAUGUGGAGGAACACCAGUGGCGAAGGCGGCUUUCUGGUCUGUAACUGACGCUGAGGCGCGAAAGCGUGGGGAGCAAACAGGAUUAGAUACCCUGGUAGUCCACGCCGUAAACGAUGAGUGCUAAGUGUUAGGGGGGUUUCCGCCCCUUAGUGCUGCAGCUAACGCAUUAAGCACUCCGCCUGGGGAGUACGGCCGCAAGGCUG